rnacentral:rRNA from 1 species
AUUGAACGCUGGCGGCAGGCCUAACACAUGCAAGUCGAGCGGAUGACGGGAGCUUGCUCCUUGAUUCAGCGGCGAACGGGUGAGUAAUGCCUAGGAAUCUGCCUGGUAGUGGGGGACAACGUUUCGAAAGGAACGCUAAUACCGCAUACGUCCUACGGGAGAAAGCAGGGGACCUUCGGGCCUUGCGCUAUCAGAUGAGCCUAGGUCGGAUUAGCUAGUAGGUGAGGUAAUGGCUCACCUAGGCGACGAGCCGUAGCUGGUCUGAGAGGAUGAUCAGUCACACUGGAACUGAGACACGGUCCAGACUCCUACGGGAGGCAGCAGUGGGGAAUAUUGGACAAUGGGCGAAAGCCUGAUCCAGCCAUGCCGCGAGUGUGAAGAAGGUCUUCGGAUUGUAAAGCACUUUAAGUUGGGAGGAAGGGCAGUAAGUUAAUACCUUGCUGUUUUGACGUUACCGACAGAAUAAGCACCGGCUAACUCUGUGCCAGCCGCCGCCGUAAGAC